UUAAGCGACUAAGCGUACACGGUGGAUGCCCUGGCAGUCAGAGGCGAUGAAGGACGUGCUAAUCUGCGAUAAGCGUCGGUAAGGUGAUAUGAACCGUUAUACGACACACUAUCAUUAACUGAAUCCAUAGGUUAAUGAGGCGAACCGGGGGAACUGAAACAUCUAAGUACCCCGAGGAAAAGAAAUCAACCGAGAUUCCCCCAGUAGCGGCGAGCGAACGGGGAGCAGCCCAGAGCCUGAAUCAGUGUGUGUGUUAGUGGAAGCGUCUGGAAAGGCGCGCGAUACAGGGUGACAGCCCCGUACACAAAAAUGCACAUGCUGUGAGCUCGAUGAGUAGGGCGGGACACGUGGUAUCCUGUCUGAAUAUGGGGGGACCAUCCUCCAAGGCUAAAUACUCCUGACUGACCGAUAGUGAACCAGUACCGUGAGGGAAAGGCGAAAAGAACCCCGGCGAGGGGAGUGAAAAAGAACCUGAAACCGUGUACGUACAAGCAGUGGGAGCACGCUUCGGCGUGUGACUGCGUACCUUUUGUAUAAUGGGUCAGCGACUUAUAUUCUGUAGCAAGGUUAACCGAAUAGGGGAGCCGAAGGGAAACCGAGUCUUAACUGGGCGUUAAGUUGCAGGGUAUAGACCCGAAACCCGGUGAUCUAGCCAUGGGCAGGUUGAAGGUUGGGUAACACUAACUGGAGGACCGAACCGACUAAUGUUGAAAAAUUAGCGGAUGACUUGUGGCUGGGGGUGAAAGGCCAAUCAAACCGGGAGAUAGCUGGUUCUCCCCGAAAGCUAUUUAGGUAGCGCCUCGUGAAYUCAUCUCCGGGGGUAGAGCACUGUUUCGGCAAGGGGGUCAUCCCGACUUACCAACCCGAUGCAAACUGCGAAUACCGGAGAAUGUUAUCACGGGAGACACACGGCGGGUGCUAACGUCCGUCGUGAAGAGGGAAACAACCCAGACCGCCAGCUAAGGUCCCAAAGUCAUGGUUAAGUGGGAAACGAUGUGGGAAGGCCCAGACAGCCAGGAUGUUGGCUUAGAAGCAGCCAUCAUUUAAAGAAAGCGUAAUAGCUCACUGGUCGAGUCGGCCUGCGCGGAAGAUGUAACGGGGCUAAACCAUGCACCGAAGCUGCGGCAGCGACGCUGAUGCGUUGUUGGGUAGGGGAGCGUUCUGUAAGCCUGUGAAGGUGUGCUGUGAGGCAUGCUGGAGGUAUCAGAAGUGCGAAUGCUGACAUAAGUAACGAUAAAGCGGGUGAAAAGCCCGCUCGCCGGAAGACCAAGGGUUCCUGUCCAACGUUAAUCGGGGCAGGGUGAGUCGACCCCUAAGGCGAGGCCGAAAGGCGUAGUCGAUGGGAAACAGGUUAAUAUUCCUGUACUUGGUGUUACUGCGAAGGGGGGACGGAGAAGGCUAUGUUGGCCGGGCGACGGUUGUCCCGGUUUAAGCGUGUAGGCUGGUUUUCCAGGCAAAUCCGGAAAAUCAAGGCUGAGGCGUGAUGACGAGGCACUACGGUGCUGAAGCAACAAAUGCCCUGCUUCCAGGAAAAGCCUCUAAGCAUCAGGUAACAUCAAAUCGUACCCCAAACCGACACAGGUGGUCAGGUAGAGAAUACCAAGGCGCUUGAGAGAACUCGGGUGAAGGAACUAGGCAAAAUGGUGCCGUAACUUCGGGAGAAGGCACGCUGAUAUGUAGGUGAAGUCCCUCGCGGAUGGAGCUGAAAUCAGUCGAAGAUACCAGCUGGCUGCAACUGUUUAUUAAAAACACAGCACUGUGCAAACACGAAAGUGGACGUAUACGGUGUGACGCCUGCCCGGUGCCGGAAGGUUAAUUGAUGGGGUYAGCGCAAGCGAAGCUCUUGAUCGAAGCCCCGGUAAACGGCGGCCGUAACUAUAACGGUCCUAAGGUAGCGAAAUUCCUUGUCGGGUAAGUUCCGACCUGCACGAAUGGCGUAAUGAUGGCCAGGCUGUCUCCACCCGAGACUCAGUGAAAUUGAACUCGCUGUGAAGAUGCAGUGUACCCGCGGCAAGACGGAAAGACCCCGUGAACCUUUACUAUAGCUUGACACUGAACAUUGAGCCUUGAUGUGUAGGAUAGGUGGGAGGCUUUGAAGUGUGGACGCCAGUCUGCAUGGAGCCGACCUUGAAAUACCACCCUUUAAUGUUUGAUGUUCUAACGUUGACCCGUAAUCCGGGUUGCGGACAGUGUCUGGUGGGUAGUUUGACUGGGGCGGUCUCCUCCUAAAGAGUAACGGAGGAGCACGAAGGUUGGCUAAUCCUGGUCGGACAUCAGGAGGUUAGUGCAAUGGCAUAAGCCAGCUUGACUGCGAGCGUGACGGCGCGAGCAGGUGCGAAAGCAGGUCAUAGUGAUCCGGUGGUUCUGAAUGGAAGGGCCAUCGCUCAACGGAUAAAAGGUACUCCGGGGAUAACAGGCUGAUACCGCCCAAGAGUUCAUAUCGACGGCGGUGUUUGGCACCUCGAUGUCGGCUCAUCACAUCCUGGGGCUGAAGUAGGUCCCAAGGGUAUGGCUGUUCGCCAUUUAAAGUGGUACGCGAGCUGGGUUUAGAACGUCGUGAGACAGUUCGGUCCCUAUCUGCCGUGGGCGCUGGAGAACUGAGGGGGGCUGCUCCUAGUACGAGAGGACCGGAGUGGACGCAUCACUGGUGUUCGGGUUGUCAUGCCAAUGGCACUGCCCGGUAGCUAAAUGCGGAAGAGAUAAGUGCUGAAAGCAUCUAAGCACGAAACUUGCCCCGAGAUGAGUUCUCCCUGACGNNNNNNNNNNNNNNNNNNNNNNNNNNNNNNNNNNNNNNNNNNNGGCGGCAGUAGCGCGGUGGUCCCACCUGACCCCAUGCCGAACUCAGAAGUGAAACGCCGUAGCGC
rnacentral:rRNA from 1 species